rnacentral:rRNA from 1 species
GACGAACGCUGGCGGCGUGCUUAACACAUGCAAGUCGAACGGAAAGGCCCUGCUUUUGUGGGGUGCUCGAGUGGCGAACGGGUGAGUAACACGUGAGUAACCUGCCCUUGACUUUGGGAUAACUUCAGGAAACUGGGGCUAAUACCGGAUAGGAGCUCCUGCUGCAUGGUGGGGGUUGGAAAGUUUCGGCGGUUGGGGAUGGACUCGAGGCUUAUCAGCUUGGUGGUGGGGUAGUGGCUUACCAAGGCUUUGACGGGUAGCCGGCCUGAGAGGGUGACCGGCCACAUUGGGACUGAGAUACGGCCCAGACUCCUACGGGAGGCAGCAGUGGGGAAUAUUGCACAAUGGGCGGAAGCCUGAUGCAGCAACGCCGCGUGCGGGAUGACGGCCUUCGGGUUGUAAACCGCUUUCGCCUGUGACGAAGCGUGAGUGACGGUAAUGGGUAAAGAAGCACCGGCUAACUACGUG